rnacentral:lncRNA from 1 species
GACGGCCCCCGCGCGCGGCCAAUCCGCGAAGCCGCGCCUGCGCACCAGAGGCGGGCGGGAGCGGGCGGAGGGCGGGGAAUGAAUCUAAGCCUCCAGAGACAGCGCCUCCUGCUGCCUGAACGAGAACUGCACCUUUCUCUGCAAGGAUCUCUGGAUUUGUGUGAAAACUGAGCCCCAGACAGGUUAAGGGGCUUUCCUAAAGUUGCACAGGAGCUCAGCCCAUCAGACAUGAACUCAUCCAUACCUAUUAAUUAGAGUAGAAGCAAAAUGGUUCUUCAUAAAAGUUGAGGCUCAGAGAAGGGGAAGAACAAUCCCCUCGUCUUCUAUCAUAGAGCUGUGAAGAAGACGCAUGCCCUUGACGUCUCAGUCCAGGGGAUACCUUACCAGGUAGUU